GGGCAUGUGGUGUAAUUGGUUAUCACGUUCGCUUCGCAUGACAACAUCCCCUGUGUAACAUAUGUUGCGAAAGGUAUCCGGUUCAAUUCCGGACAUGUCCA